rnacentral:rRNA from 1 species
CUUGGUUGAUCCUGCCAGUAGUCAUAUGCUUGUCUCAAAGAUUAAGCCAUGCAUGUGUAAAUAUGAACUAAUUUAGACUAUGAAAUUGUGAAUGGCUCAUUAAAUCAAUUAUAGUUUGUUUGAUGGUAUCUACUACUUAGAUAAUCGUAGUAAUUCUACAGUUGAAGCAUACAACAAACCCCUACUUCUGGAAGAGAUGCAUUUAUUAGAUAAAAAGGUUGAUGCGGGCUUUGCCCUUUGCUCUAAUGAUUCAUUAUAACUUGACAAAUCACACGACUUUUGUGCCAGCGACGCAUCAUUCAAAUUUCUACCCUAUCAACUUUUGAUGGUAGGAUAGUGGCCUACUAUAAUGGUGACCAGUGAUGGAGAAUUACGGUUAGAUUCUAGAGAGGGAACCUGAGAAAAGGCAAACACAUCCAAAGAAGGCUGCAGGUAAAAAAUUAGCAAAUCUUGACAUGGGGAGGUUGUGAUAAUAAAUAACAAUACUCGGCUCUAUGAGUAUAGUAAUUGAAAUAAAUACAAUCUAAAUCCCUUAAUGAGGAUCCAUUGAGGGCAAGUCUGGUGCCAACAGCCACGAUAAUUGUAGCUCUAAUAGCAUAUAUUUAAGUUGUUGUAGUUAAAAAACUCGUAGUUGGAACUAGGGUUAAAUCGUUCAGUUCACCUCAUGGUAAGCACCAGUCUACUAGUCCUUAUAACCAACGAUACACUCCUGACCUUAGCUAGCCAGCUCAUUCCUCUGGCGAUGUUACUUUGAAAAAAUUAGAGUGCUCAAAGUAGGCCUAUGUUUGUAUACAUUAGCAUAGGAUAACAUCAUAGGAUUUUGGUGCUAUUGUGUUGGCCUUUGGGAUUAUAGUAAUGAUUAACAGGGAUAGUUAGGCGUAUUCAUAUUUUAUAAUCAGAGGUAAAAUUCUUAUAUUUAUGAAAAAUGAAAUACUGCAAAAGCAUUCACCAAAAAUGUUUUCAUUAAUCAAGAAUGAAAGUUGAGGGCUUAAAGUUGAUCAAAUACCAUCCUAGUCUCAACUAUAAAUGAUGCCAACCAAGGAUCAAUGAAUGUUACUUUUAGGACUCCGUCAGCACUUUAUGAAAAAUCAAAGUUUUUGGAUUCUAGGGGGACUAUGGUUGCAAGGCUAAAAUUUAAAAGAAUUGACGGAAAGGCACCACCAGGAGUGGAGCUUGUAGUUUAAUUUGACUCAACACAAAGAAACUUAUCAGGUCUAGACAUAGUAAGGAUUUACAUACUGAGAGCUCUUUCUUGAUUCUAUAAGUGGUGGUGCAUGGCCGUUUUUAGUUGGUAAAGUGAUUUGUCUACUUAAUUCUCUUAACGAAUGAGACCUUAGCCUAUUAACUAGCUACGAGGAGAUGAUUCUUCAUGGCUAGCUUCUUAAAAGGACUAUGGCUGCUUAGACUAAGGAAGUUUGAAGUAAUAACAGGUCUAUAAUGCCUUUAGAUGUUUUAGGCUACACGUGUGCUACAUUGAUGUAUUCAACGAGUCUAUAGCUUUGGCCAAUAGGCUCGGGUAAUCUUUAAAAUUUCAUCGUGAUAGGCAUAGAUCAUUGCAAUUAUUGGUCUUCAAUAAGGAAUUCCUAGUAAGUGUGAGUCAUCAACUUAUGUUGACUACAUCCCUACCCUUUGUACACACUUCUUGUCACUCCUACUAAUUGAAUAGUCCAGUAAAGUGUUUAGAUUACAGUGACAUAGACGAUUCACUACCUGUGAUGUUGCAAGAAGUCCACUAAACCUUAUCAUUUAGGGGAAGGAGAAGUUGUAACAAGGUUUUCAUAAGUGAACUUGUGGAAG